UGCCCAAUGAUGAAACUCAUCCUUGCACGCCUGAGGUCCUGCCCUGAUAGUGGUUUGGUGAAAUGGGCGACACUAUGGGUCCCCUAGGCAGGCCGGGUUUGGCCUUGGCCUGGGGGCUGAGGGCA
ensembl:snoRNA